AUGUCUGGGAAACUGCCUGAUGGAGGGGGAGUAACUACUGGAAACGGUAAGCUAAUACCGCAUAACGUCGCAAGACCAAAGAGGGGGACCGUUCGGGCCUCUUGCCAUCAGAUGUGCCCAGAUGGGAUUAGCUAGUAGGUGGGGUAACGGCUCACCUAGGCGACGAUCCCUAGCUGGUCUGAGAGGAUGACCAGCCACACUGGAACUGAGACACGGUCCAGACUCCUACGGGAGGCAGCAUG
rnacentral:rRNA from 1 species